CAACAAGAAGCUACAAGAAAAAUCUAGAGAAAAGAAAGGGGAGAAACUUGAAGCUAGAGAGAGAGGGAGCUCGGAUUUGGGAGAAACAAAGCCCAAAACGUUACCAAACAGCCCCGAAGUUUCAGCUGCGCUAAGGAGGUUUCCGAGGCGCAAUUUUGGCUAGUUUUGGCCAAUUUCGGGUAAGGUUCAAAGUACGACAAAGCGAACGGGAUAAAGAGUAACC